CUAAAUUUUAGAUUUGCUUGAGGCAGGAGAAGGGCUUUUCGCUUGGCCUCUAAACACUACAUGGCUUUAGCUGCAAGAUGUGUUGCUGGUUUUGAUUUUAAUCAGUUUCUUAUUUGUAAUUUGCAAUUAUUAUUAUUUUUUCUUUUCUUUCAUGUUAUUUCCAGAGGAAGCCCUGGAUGAAGGUUGUUGGUCUGGUGGAGAAAUAGGCACUAACACUUCAGAUGAGAGAUGGACCGAUAUUCUCUGCAUGGCUGAGGCCAGUAACUAUCUGUGAACGGUGACUCACGAUCCGGUCAGACGCACAUCCACACAAGUGAUGCCAGCAGCCUGGUCCCAGCGGGAUGUACACCGAGUGGGAUGAGUCAACCCUGCCGUCUGCAGCGCUGCAUUCAGGCUGCCCAGGAGGAGACACCUGCCGGUACCAAAAGGAGUACUUCAGCAGUAAAGUGCCAUACUCUGCUGAACAAACUUGGCAUCUCGUCAAGCUGACUUAUUUGGGAUGGAAUUGGACCUUCAUGUCCCUGUGCAUAGCUUCUCUUAGUGAAAUCCCAAGAAUGCAGGCUGACCAAGGUGGAUACUGAAGAACCUGCCUUCUCCUAUACAUGAGUCUAGCUACAUGAGAAGAAGUCUGGACUCGAACAGAUCCCAGCCGGAAUCAAUCCCAACCAUCUCUCCAGCAAUCAGAACAACCUGCUGGGGGCUGAGUAACAGCUGAAUUCUUGGUGAGAGAAAUUACAGGCAUAAAAACAAAAUCAAAUAGACUCCUUGUGCUCAUUCAACAUUUCAAGGCAUAUUUAUAGGUACUGCUGCAUGGCAUCUUAAAUAUCGCAGUUUAAAAAGAAACUGCAUUACUCCUGUUGGGGAAAAUAAUUUUUCUGUUCUGUCACUUUCACUGUCUUUGCCCCUGAUGAAAAAAAGAAUAGAAAUACACUGAAUUAAAUACCCAUUCAGACCUUGCCGUCUCCUCUUUGAACUGUCUGGAUACCUCAGAGAUAGAUCUGUGAAGAUGAGAAGAUCUAAAGGUCAUCCGAAGGCCAUCAAAACUGGUGUAGGAACAUGAGAGCUGAACAAUAAGCUGCUAAUUAAAAGCUGGGGUUUUCUUGCUCUAUGAAAAUAGGAGGGGCUUGGUAUAGGCGAAGAGAUGACCUUGCAGUCCAGCUCCUAGUUGAGUCACUUCCUUAGACUCCUGCAUUGCAUCCCUCUCUACCUGCUCCCAAGUCUCACUGUCAAGAAAAGCCCAAGAGAAAUUUUACCACUGAUGAAGAUCCCUGCAUAAGGGAGAGAAAUCCACCCUAUUCCACUUUUACUUUCAAGACAGAGAGACCCUAAUUCUCAUACUAGGUAAGCAGGAGGGAAAACCACACAAACCACAGCUUUGAGCUCCCUGCUGAGUGCAUCAAAGUAGAAACAAGUUAACAGGACAGACUGAUAGACAGCUUUUCCCUCUAGCCCAUCGAAAUUCUUUGAAAAGGUAUGAACAAAAAAAUAGUGUAAAAAUUGGGGAGGGUGCUUUUUUACACUUUAAGAGGGAGAAUAUUCUUCCAAAAUGUUCACAGAACUAUUGAAAAAUGGAUCAGCUUUCAUUAUAGACAUCUGAGGCAGAAGGUACAUGGCUGACAAAGCUUGUGCUCUGUAAUGGUUUGGGAGAAAAAAAAACAUUUAGCAGAUAAUAGUAUUUGCCUUGGGAACAGGAGUCAGGGAGCCUCAAGUGGGGAGGACUUUAGAUACCGAACUAAAGCAGCAAACUUGCCAUUGGUCAAGGACUUGAGGGAGCUAAACUCCUCUAUCACAUGCCUGAGACUCAAGUGCUCUGUAAUCUCUGUGGCAUAGACAUCUAGGCACCAUUGUGGACAGCACAUGGCUGCUGAAUGGUGAAAGCAGAUGACUGGGCAGAGCAAAACCAGAAGGCCUCAAAUCACAAUCACAAAAGUCAGCUCUUGAGAUUAAACUGAGAUUAAAUCAACCCAGCCACCAGAAGGGUGUCACACAGCAUUGCAGAAACACGACUUGCUACCAGACACAGGAGGGCUCUUGUAAAAAGCUCCAUGCUCCCACUUCCCCCAUGCCCCUUCCCACCUCCACACACACAUACACACUCUUCCAUAUACAGCAAAAAAUAUCAAGGUUAUGUGUUUCCUGAAAUAAGGUUGACUGAAUAGAUACACUUACAGAGAAUUCUUUGUAAAGCUAUAGCAAAAUGAGUAAGAGUGCAUCGCUACCAUGGGAAAUAAAAAGAAAAGUAACCCAACUGCA
rnacentral:lncRNA from 1 species